rnacentral:rRNA from 1 species
UACGUAGGGUGCGAGCGUUGUCCGGAGUUACUGGGCGUAAAGAGCUCGUAGGUGGUUUGUCGCGUUGUCCGUGAAAACUCACAACUCAAUUGUGGGCGUGCGGGCGAUACGGGCAGACUGGAGUACUGCAGGGGAGACUGGAAUUCCUGGUGUAGCGGUGAAAUGCGCAGAUAUCAGGAGGAACACCGGUGGCGAAGGCGGGUCUCUGGGCCGAUACUGACGCUGAGGAGCGAAAGCGUGGGGAGCGAACAGG